rnacentral:lncRNA from 1 species
UGCAAAUCCAGUGCUGGAUUUUGUUUAUUCACAUUGGACUCUUGAGUUGGAGGAAGUCAUCAUGAUUACAGGGGAGCAUUUACACCAUCCACAAGACUCUUGAUGUGUUAAUUUGUAUUUUAAGCAGGCAUUUCCUGAGUUAUCCAUUGUAAAUCUGACUCCCCCUGAAGUUAAUCUGUUUACUAGGUCAGCAAGCUAUAAACUAGCAUUGAUACCAACAAAUCUCCGGUCAGCCUUCUCAGUCUCUUCCCAGGUAGGACUUUUAAAGUAACAUGACUGUAGCAUCAGAAGUGUUAGGAAUUUCAAAUGGAAUCCUCAUUUAUUGCAGAUAAG